AGGGAAUAUUGCACAAUGGGGGAAACCCUGAUGCAGCGACGCCGCGUGGAGGAAGAAGGUCUUCGGAUUGUAAACUCCUGUUGUUGAGGAAGAUAAUGACGGUACUCAACAAGGAAGUGACGGCUAACUACGUGCCAGCAGCCGCGGUAAAACGUAGGUCACAAGCGUUGUCCGGAAUUACUGGGUGUAAAGGGAGCGCAGGCGGGCGAUCAAGUUGGAAGUGAAAUCCAUGGGCUCAACCCAUGAACUGCUUUCAAAACUGAUUGUCUUGAGUAGUGCAGAGGUAGGCGGAAUUCCCGGUGUAGCGGUGGAAUGCGUAGAUAUCGGGAGGAACACCAGUGGCGAAGGCGGCCUACUGGGCACCAACUGACGCUGAGGCUCGAAAGUGUGGGUAGCAAACAGGAUUAGAUACCCUGGUAGUCCACACCGUAAACGAUGAUUACUAGGUGUUGGAGGAUUGACCCCUUCAGUGCCGCAGUUAACACAAUAAGUAAUCCACCUGGGGAGUACGACCGCAAGGUUGAAACUCAAAGGAAUUGACGGGGGCCCGCACAAGCAGUGGAGUAUGUGGUUUAAUUCGACGCAACGCGAAGAACCUUACCAAGUCUUGACAUCCUGCGACGAUGCUAGAAAUAGUAUUUUCCUUCGGGACGCAGAGACAGGUGGUGCAUGGUUGUCGUCAGCUCAUGUCGUGAGAUGUUGGGUUAAGUCCCGCAACGAGCGCAACCCUUAUGGUCAGUUACUACGCAAGAGGACUCUGGCCAGACUGCCGUUGACAAAACGGAGGAAGGUGGGGAUGACGUCAAAUCAUCAUGCCCUUUAUGACUUGGGCUACACACGUACUACAAUGGCGUUAAACAAAGAGAAGCAAGACCGCGAGGUGGAGCAAAACUCAGAAACAACGUCCCAGUUCGGACUGCAGGCUGCAACUCGCCUGCACGAAGUCGGAAUUGCUAGUAAUCGCAGAUCAGCAUGCUGCGGUGAAUACGUUCCCG
rnacentral:rRNA from 1 species